UGGGUUGUAGCUCAGUGGCAGAGCACUUGCGUAGCAUACAUGAGGCACUGAGUUCGAUCCUCAGCACCACAU
rnacentral:tRNA from 1 species